CCUACGGGCGGCAGCAGUGGGGAAUAUUGGGCAAUGGGCGCAAGCCUGACCCAGCAACGCCGCGUGAAGGAAGAAGGCUUUCGGGUUGUAAACUUCUGUUGUCAGGGAAGAGUAGAAGACGGUACCUGUCGAAUAAGCUACGGCUAUCUAUGUGCCAGCAGCCGCGGUAAUAUGUAGGUGGCAAGCGUUGUCCGGAAUUACUGGGCGGAAGUGGCGUGUAGCCGGGUUGACAAGUCAGAUGUGAAAGCCUGCGGGUUAACCGCAGAUCUGCAUUUGAAACUGUUGAUCUUGAGUGCUGGAGAGGCGGACGGAAUUCCUGGUGUAGCGGUGAAAUGCGUAGAUAUUAGGAGGAACACCAGUGGCGAAGGCGGUCUGCUGGACAGCAACUGACGGUGAGGCGCGAAAGCGUGGGGAGCAAACAGGAUUAGAUACCCUUGUAGUC
rnacentral:rRNA from 1 species